CGCAGACAGAUUGCGCGACCGACGGGCCUUGAACUUUAGGGGAAAAAACACUUUCUCACGGACGGUGACAGCGACACGGAUAACAGUCUUCAGUACCUGCUGGUCUUUGAAGCUCUGGAUUCUGGGACUGUUGGAAAAGCUCCAACAAAAUGAGGAAGAGGAGCGGGAGAAAAACAAUUAGAUUGAAUUACAGUUGAAUGGAUGUCGAGGACAAGGAGAAGGAAGCUUAGGAUGAGGAGGAAGAAAAGCAGCAGGAGCAUCUUUGGGGAUCUCUAUGAUGUCAUUGAGAGGCGGCGGCGAGAGGGGAGACCUCGGCUCAUCCAGCUGGACAGCCUGACCAGGAGGAGUCUACAUUAACUCGGCUCUUCCAGGGCACCCUGCAGACUCGGCUGCUGGCAACACUGGGAUGACGUGAACGCCAAACUGGAGUCCAUCACAGGUCGACUGCAGCUCUUUGUCUCAGAGUGGGAGGGAUUUGAAGCACAAAGGGAGGAGCUUGUCGUUUGGUUGGCUGAUAUGGAUGUCCACCUGAGUGAGGUUGACCAGCUGUCAGGAAACACCUGUGAAAAUCUGAAACAACUGCAGGUGUGGGGUUGUUUUGAUAUGACAUAUAUUUGAUAUGAUACAUACGUCAGAGACAUUAUCCUAAACUGGACUAACAAAAAACCAUGAGUCCAACUAGGGCUGCUCAGUUAAUCGAAUUUUAAUCUCGAUUACGAUCUGGGCUUUCAACGAUCAUUAAAAAUGACUGAGCCGAUUAUUAGCACCUCCCUCGUGCUUUACUCUCGCGCUGCUCCGUGUGGCAAAUCGAGCGGACCUCUCUGCAAUUCGAACACACGUCAUAACAAUUAAGAGGACCCGGGGGAAGCUAAGCAGAAGUUAUUUGGA